rnacentral:rRNA from 1 species
CGGACGGGUGAGUAAUGUCUGGGAAACUGCCCGAUGGAGGGGGAUAACUACUGGAAGCGGUAGCUAAUACCGCAUAACGUCGCAAGACCAAAGAGGGGGACCUUAGGGCCUCUUGCCAUCGGAUGUGCCCAGAUGGGAUUAGCUAGUAGGUGGGGUAACGGCUCACCUAGGCGACGAUCCCUAGCUGGUCUGAGAGGAUGACCAGCCACACUGGAACUGAGACACGGUCCAG